UGGGCGGCUGAGGUGGCGCGCGGCGGGAAACGGCGGCGCGCGAGCCGGGGUGUCCCGAGCUGGAGCGGCCGGGAGGCGACCCCGGGAACGGCCCUGGGAGCGAGAGCGGCGCCCCGAACCCGAUCCCUUCCGUGCAGCCACGCCGGGCGCGGGCGCUUCUGCGCGUCCUGAGGUGUAGCCUCUCGGGAAGCUGCUGUGCGUGCUGAGUGCUGUUUGGUGCCGCUUUCCGCGAGUGUUGCUACAGCUUUCCGAUGGGGGUAAAAACAGCUGUCAAAAGAUAUGAAACGAGAAGUAAGACAGCCGGGACAGAACUGGCAUCACCCAGGUCCCGAGUGGAUUGGAGACGCACUAGAAGGGCGCUCAUACUGCUGGACAGCAAUGACGAAUCCUCGGCCGCCUCGGAGGAGGAGGAGGAGUCUGCCACAUCCGAAAGUGAAAUAAGUGAAAAAGACCCGCCGGCUGUGGAGGGCAGUGCUGCAGAUCGGGAGGAGAAAGAGCCCAGGGGGGAAGCAGCAGAAGAUGGUGACGAUGAGUGCGUUGUGCCUGGGAAGCGAAAGAGGUGGAGCAGCUCUGUCAUGUACGACAGCGAUGAAAGCGAGGGCAGCGACAUACUUGUUAGGAAGGUUUCUGCCAAACGCCGCUGCAUAAUGGAUGACGAUGAGAGUUCUGAAGAACAGCAGCCUGAUAAAACAUGCCCUACAGAGGAUGUUUCUGCUAGUAGGAAACAGAAAGUGCUUGCAAAAUUGAAAGAACUUGUAAGACAAAGUGCAGUUCGGAGAUCCUGCAGCAGUGCAAAUUGUGAGGAUUCUAAUAGUGAAGCAGCAGUAGAAGAGGAACCAUUCUGUCAGUUGCCCCUCACACCAUCAGAAGGGAGUGAAACUGAUGGUGACAGCAUGAAAGAUUUUGUAGUAGAGGAAGAGGAAGACGAUGAUGGUGAUGACAUUGACAACACAGAGCAUGUGAAGAAUGAGAAUCAGCCACAUCAAAAGCAACCAAAUCCAUCAAACAGCGAGCUGCUGGCACACUACAUCCCACAGUUAUCUCGCUGUGAUCAUUAUGAACACUUCAAAAGAAUAGUGAAGGCUUUCCUCAUAAAUGCAAUUGAUGACACUUUUCUGAGCUCAUUAUAUGAUGGAACAAGACGAAAGAAGUAUGCACAAGAUAUGCUGAUCUCACUUCAUUAUUUGGAUGACCGCUUCAUUCAGCCUCGUCUUGAGAACUUAAUCUGUAGAAGUCGCUGGAAGGAUCGAUACAAGGAGCGUGUGGAUUGUUACCCAGAUGUUCGCAUAAGCUUGCAAAAUGCAGAAAAUAUGUCUUGUCAGGCCUGUGAACUGAAGCGGUGGUGUAAGUUCAAUGUGUUGCUCUCUGGAAGGCUUUAUAAUAGUAGAACUUUGGAAGUGGAUGACUUCAUGUCAAAUGAUAAACAGGUUUUGAAGGUUGGCAUGGUGUGUGCAAAUCGUACAAGAGUUUAUCACAACUUGAAACACUUCAAGUACAAGUUAUACAUGGCUUGCAGCUCCAUUGUUGAAUUGGAUGGUGUUGAGGAUGAAGCAGUCAAAGACACUGUGGAGCGUCUUUUCAGCCACUUGGAAGAGACUGGGUGGAUUCAGAAGGGGAUUUUCCAGGAAUGUGUCAGUUCAUCACUGACAUUCAAAGUAUUUAUUUGCAUGACCUUGGAAGGGGAUAAAAACACCUGAGAGGGUUAUUGUCAGCUCCUCCUUAUCCUCAGCUUCAUGGUCUCAGUAUGCGGAGAUGAAAUUUGUGUAUUUUUCUGACGGGACCCAUUGCAGAACUGAAAGAGAUAAUGCACCCAUCUACUAAGGGCUGUACAGUCCCAAAAGACCUUGGAGGAUUUCCAUCAGGGAUGUGUCUCUGCGUGCUUGGGGGCCAUUUUAUUCCCAGAGGUAUGUGGGAAUUUGGCUAAUGCAGCCACAGUAGAAGAAGAGCAUAUUGCUUUAAUAAAGCCGGCCAGCUCCCAGCUAUUUCUGCAUCCUCCUUUACAGCUCACCUACAAUAACACGCAGAACCUGACGGCUGCCAGUUGCAGCAAGGCCAGUUCCAGAGGCCAGAUCUCGCAGUCUAAAAUUGCCCUGCUCUAAAUAGAGGAGCCGGGCGAGAGAAGCACUAAGCCUGCGGCUUUCCCGGGGAGGAACCACAGUGUAGGCGCUACGUGACUUGCCCCGGACACCCAAGAAGCUCCUGUCAGCGCACGGAGCUCCCACAUCCCGAGCCUGACCUCGUGUCGUGCACUCGUCCCGAGCAUGCGAGCGCCCUAGAACGCACUGCUUGUUUUUAUACCGUCUGUUCCAGAGAAAUCCAGCUGGUAGAGGAGCGCAGCGCCGUGAUUUAUUUGAGAACCCCCUCGUACUCGCCUGAAGGUCUCACCGCCGAGGGAGGAGGGAGAGCGCGGGAGGCUGCGCUCCUCGGCAGCUGCUCCGCGCCCGGCCCGGCACCCAGGUAGAGGGCGAGGAGGGGAGCGGGGAUUUCCUUGGCGUCCUCCCAUGCACAUACCUCCCGGGGAGCGGCAGCGGCAGCCCGACUCCCCUCGGCGGCCGCUGGGAGGCUCCGCGCCUCGCCCCGGCCUCCCCGGCCGCGCUCUCUGUCGGUGACACCCGCCUCCCGCCCCCGCUCCGCUCCGCGCCGCGCCGCGCCGCGCCGCACGGAGGGGCCGCGGGCAGCUCCGGCACCGGCAGCGCCGACAGCCCACCGGCAAACACCCGCCCGCCGGCGCGGGCAUGGAAUAUACAAAAACACAAAGGAAAAGUGGCUGCUGGACUGUUCUGGGGGCAAAAUGCUGGAAGUUUCUUGCUGCUUAAUACUAAGGGGGGAGAUGAGCACUGAAAGCAAUACGGAUUUAUCCAGUGGCUGAAUUAAGUGAAGGCGAAGCGUGGUUUGGAAGCCCACUGACUGACAUUGUUCCGGACCGGGGAAUCUGUCUCUCUGCUUUUUAGAGGAACUACAGUUUAGCGGCAGCCAGCCGGACACAGUCACCACGCCGCAGAGUGGCCAGCAAGGAGCGGGCGAGAGAAACGAGAAAGCACAAAGACUAAACUAACCCGACCCUCCUCCUCUUUCUCCUCCUUCCCGGCUCUUUAUUUGCACAUUUACUAAAGACUUAAAAAAAAAAAAAAAAAAGGAGAGAGAGAGAGAGCGAGAGAAACCCCAACAAACCCACUCCAGCUAACCUACGAGAUUUUCGGUCCGCCGGGGGUUUCUCCGCGCCGCCGACCACGGCAAUGCCUUAAAUUUUCACUUCAAGGAAUAACACCCCCCGCUCCCCCGAAAUAAAAUAAACCCAAUAAACCUGCCAAGUCUCACUCAUUCCCGACGGAGAGCUCCUUCGUCCUGGGAUUCAUUUUGAAGGCA